rnacentral:rRNA from 1 species
UGACCUAGCGGCGGACGGGUGAGUAAUACUUAGGAAUCUGCCUAUUAAUGGGGGACAACAUCUCGAAAGGGAUGCUAAUACCGCAUACGCCCUACGGGGGAAAGCAGGGGAUCACUUGUGACCUUGCGUUAAUAGAUGAGCCUAAGUCGGAUUAGCUAGUUGGUGGGGUAAAGGCCUACCNNGGCGACGAUCUGUAUNGGGUCUGAGAGGAUGAUCCGCCACNCUGGGACUGAGACACGGCCCANACUCCUACGGGAGGCAGCAGUGGGGAAUAUUGGACAAUGGGGGGAACCCUGAUCCAGCCNUGCCGCGUGUGUGAAGAAGGCCUUAUGGUUGUAAAGCNCUUUAAGCGANGAGGAGGCUCUCUUGGUUAAUACCCANGAUGAGUGGACGUUACUCGCAGAAUAAGCACCGGCUAACUCUGUGCCAGCAGCCGCGGUAAUACAGAGGGUGCGAGCGUUAAUCGGAUUUACUGGGCGUAAAGCGUGCGUAGGCGGCUUUUUAAGUCGGAUGUGAAAUCCCCGAGCUUAACUUGGGAAUUGCAUUCGAUACUGGGAAGCUAGAGUAUGGNAGAGGAUGGUAGAAUUCCAGGUGUAGCGGUGAAAUGCGUANANAUCUGGAGGAAUACCGAUGGCGAAGGCAGCCAUCUGGCCUAAUACUGACGCUGAGGUAC